rnacentral:lncRNA from 1 species
UUUUAUAAAUAAGUAAAUGUGGGAAUUGUGGUUUGGAAUGGAAAUAAACAUGGGGUUUGGAAUAUAUGAAGUAGAAGAUAAGGAAUAUGGGGUUUUGGGGUUUGAGGUUUCGGAUUUUAGGGAUUUAAACGUACUGCUCAUUAAUUCCUCGUAAUUUAACGUCGAAUGUACGACGAAAUCGUCGUUUAUUCCACGUAGGACAGAAUCGUCGUAAA